GGAUAUCCUUGCUCACACACUGGGUCAGAUGGAUAUUUCAGACACUCUUUCUGACCUGGAAUACAGCACAAUCCAAACACUAGGAUUGGACACCAAGCAGAAAGACAAGUGACUUUGCUGAAGAAACUUGAAGAUGACUAAAGUUAA